GGAUUAGAAACCCCGGUAGUCCACGCCGUAAACGAUGGAUACUAGCUGUUUGAGAGCAAUCUUGAGUGGCUAAGCGAAAGUGAUAAGUAUCCCACCUGGGGAGUACGAACGCAAGUUUGAAACUCAAAGGAAUUGACGGGGGCCCGCACAAGCGGUGGAGCAUGUGGUUUAAUUCGAUGAUACGCGAGGAACCUUACCAGGGCUUAAAUGUAGUGGGACAGGCUUGGAAACAGGCCCUUCUUCGGACUCAUUACAAGGUGCUGCAUGGUUGUCGUCAGCUCGUGCCGUGAGGUGUCAGGUUAAGUCCUAUAACGAGCGCAACCCCUGUUGUUAGUUGCCAGCGAGUGAUGUCGGGAACUCUAACAAGACUGCCGGUGCAAACCGAGAGGAAGGU
rnacentral:rRNA from 1 species